rnacentral:rRNA from 1 species
CCUACGGGUGGCAGCAGUGGGGAAUAUUGCACAAUGGGGGAAACCCUGAUGCAGCGACGCCGCGUGAGUGAAGAAGUAAUUCGUUAUGUAAAGCUCUAUCAGCAGGGAAGAAAAUGACGGUACCUGAGUAAGAAGCCCCGGCUAACUACGUGCCAGCAGCCGCGGUAAUAAGUAGGGGGCAAGCGUUAUCCGGAUUUACUGGGUGUAAAGGGAGCGUAGACGGGAGUGCAAGUCUGGAGGGAAAGGCCGGGGCCCAACCCCCGGACUGCUCUGGAAACUGUACGGCUGGAGUGCAGGGGAGGUAAGUGGAAUUCCUGGUGUAGCGGUGGAAGGCGUAGAUAUUAAGAGGGACACCAGGGGCGAAGGCGGCUUAAGGGACUGGUACUGACGUUGAGGCUCGAAAGCGUGGGGAGCAAACAGGAUUAGAUACCCCUGUAGUC